CAGACCAGUCCGUUCGAAAUACCAGACAGGGGCGGAGGAACCACAUCCGGUGCCUUGGGCACCUUGGGGUGAAGUCCGGUCAACUGCUUCCUUUUAACAAGGGGUGCUUACUGCCCGGGCCGAGUUGAACUCUCACUCGAAUCCGACAGCUAACUUCGCAGGCGUACGGAGAGGACCC
rnacentral:sRNA from 1 species